ensembl:piRNA 21ur-6156 ncRNA
UUUUGCAAGGAUAUAUACGGA